rnacentral:rRNA from 1 species
GAUGAACGCUGGCGGCGUGCCUAAUACAUGCAAGUCGAGCGAACAGACGAGGAGCUUGCUCCUCUGACGUUAGCGGCGGACGGGUGAGUAACACGUGGAUAACCUACCUAUAAGACUGGGAUAACUUCGGGAAACCGGAGCUAAUACCGGAUAAUAUAUUGAACCGCAUGGUUCAAUAGUGAAAGACGGUUUUGCUGUCACUUAUAGAUGGAUCCGCGCCGCAUUAGCUAGUUGGUAAGGUAACGGCUUACCAAGGCAACGAUGCGUAGCCGACCUGAGAGGGAGCGCGCCCACUGGAACUGUGACACAGGGCCCAGACCCCCAGGGGGGGCAGGAGGGGGAAAUCUCGCAAUAGGGGCGAACCCGUCGCAGCACAGCGGCGCGUGAGAGAAAAGUGUCGGGGGAUUGAAAAACUGUGUUAUGGGAAAAAAAAAAAUGUGUGUAACACUGCGCGCGUCGACGGGGCCCCAAAAGAGAGACCCGGCUAAAUACGUG